CACACGACUCUUACUUCGUGCGAUAAGUAAUAAUACUUAAUAAUACUAAAUGGAUAUUUCGUCUUUCGUGUUGUAAAUUCGAUAUAUCGCGUUAUAUUUGCUGGAAUUUAGUGUUAAUAGACGGAUUUUAGUCGCUAAAUAUUUAUCGCGUGUGUAUUCUUCGGAAUUCAAUGUUUUGUGUUUAUUACCGUUUUGCGUAUAUCUGGGAUCCGUUGCCGUCGGACGCCAGUCGGCCAUGUUGUGUGAUUUUAAAUAAUAUUUUGGAGUUGUGCGAACCAUUUUUGUCUUCAGCAGAACACGACGGGCGGCUGUUCUACUUGUACCUAUCUACUCGCAUUUGAUUUGCGGUGUUCGAUACACCGUACUUGCUGUGCCCUGGCAAACCAAUGAGCUGCAUUGGUAAGUUUUUAUUAAUUUAUAUUAUUCGGCCAAAUGUUUUAUGACCUGCGUGUUGCAAUAGCUCGCGAAUUAAAGGUGCCUUGUUUAUUUUAAUUGCGGGUAAUAUAGAAAACAAAGGAAACGACAAAGUUUGCCCGCUUUUCGCGUUUUUCAAAACACACGGUGGAAAACAGGCCAUAUCUCAGGAACCCUUUGUCAUAUUUUAGUUUUUUUCUUUAUUUAUGAUAGGCCAAGAGUGUAUUUUUAAAAUGCACCCCUGAACCCCCGCGAAAUUCGAUCGUAACUGCCGCAAAAUGGCCGCCAAAGUUAGACUUUCUUGAAAUUUUCAAAACACGCGAUGGAAAACAGGCCAUAUCUCGUGAAUCCUUUGUCAUAUUUUAGCUUUUUAUUUAUUUUAUGAUAAAGCAAAAGGGCAUUUUUGAAAUACACCCCUGAAUCCCGCGAAAUUCGGUCGAAACAGCCUCAAAAUGGCCUACAAAGUUAGGCCUUUCCCUGCAAUUUUCAAAACAGGCGGUGGAAAACCAUACCUUGAAAACCCUUUAUGAUAUUUUAAGUUUCUUCGAUUUGAUUAUAGGAUCAGAGUGCAUUUAUCGUCAUAAAUUGAAAAUUUGCAAUAUUGAGCACUUUCAGUUGAGGUUCUUGACCUUUUACCCCAUUAAAUAAAAUUACCCCCCACCCCCUUGCCCAUUUUUUCUUGUGAAUUAAAAUUUCAUCUAAUAAGUUAGUUCAUUUGGAAAUUUACAUUUAUGGAUCUUUUCGUUUACCGAGAAAUAUUGAAAGUAGAAGUAAAUUUUGUGUAUGUGUAUUUCAACGUUGUGAAUUUUUAGUUUGGUCCUCGCAACUAGGUGUUUAUCAGUACGUUUGGGUAUAAACAACUUUUUUGUUCGACUGACGCGUGAUAUCGCUGCAUACCUGUCUUGUACCCGGCUACGCGCAACGCACACGGCAGUUGUUUCACGGCGUGGUCCGCGAGCGUGUCUAUCUAAUCGCCACGCGUUUUGGCGUUUUAAUUGGAUUAAUUGUCGUGUAUUCUUUUGGCCAUCGGUAAAAUGUAGGGCUUCACACGAGACGAGAGUGGACGAGACUAUCAACAGUAUCGUCUCGGUCUCGGUAUCGUCUCGUAAAAGCGAUACGAGACCGAGACGAUACGAGAAAAGUCUCGCGAUACCCGUGAAGCCUUUGUUCUUAUAUUUUUUUACAUUUAAUGGUUUUAAGUGUAAAGAAAACAUUGAAGAUCUUUGCAGUUCAAAAGUUUAGUAAUUUAAUUACUCCAAAAAUACAUACAUAGGUUAAAAUAUUAAUUAUCCCAAUAUUAUUAAGUUGUCUACAAAAUAUUGUCAACAUGAACACUUUUUCGUCCCGGACUAUAUCAUAAAUUUUAUUUGACAAGAUCUAUUAUAUUCCCUUGCCCAGUUAAUACAAUACGUUUGCUGUUCAUAUAUUUGCUUCAAGAAGUACAGAAAAACACAAAAAUAUGUCCCCGGAUGUAUAAACAAAGACAAAAUUUUCAUAAAACUUUCAAAAAGUCAAGAAGGUCAUGAUAUUCGGUUACUGACUUGUUCUUUUGAAUAUACAAAAGAAAUAUUUCACAGAUGGUCAUAUAUUGGAUUUCAUAUAUUGGCCCUUUUCUCAUUUUACUAAUAUCAACUUCAUAAAAAAAAUUUCACGAGACCAAUAACGAGACCAAAAACGAGACUCGGACUGUGGUCUCACUAUCGCCGAGAAAUUGAUAAAGCUCGUCUCGGAAAAGCGAGACGAUACCGAGACGAUACGAGAAAAGUCUCGGUAUCGCGUGAAGCCCUAGUAAAAUGUUCGCAAUUGGCAUGUGUGUCUGUUUUGUUUAAUGAUUUAUGGCGAUUAGAGUCCUCUUAAGUGAGAAAUAAGUGUCCGUUAAUCCCUGCGCGAGUUUUCAUAUAGAAUAUAUUACAAGAUAGAAUAUCUACCCUUCAUUGCACAGGUGGGUGGAUAAUUAUAAUUUUUCGCGGAAAGUUAAGGCGGUUUAACCUAAAUUGAUUAUUCAAUUUGGGGGAUAUUAAUUUUGUGGUGGAAUUUUUAUCAGAAUUCAUCUUAGUCGCGUUUCCGAAAAUAACAUGCUUCAUUUAAUUAUUACAAGCACGGUUUUUAAAAUUAUCU